rnacentral:rRNA from 1 species
AUACGGAGGGUGCAAGCGUUAAUCGGAAUUACUGGGCGUAAAGGGUGCGUAGGCGGUCUAUCAAGUCAGGUGUGAAAUCCCACGGCUCAACCGUGGAGGUGCAUCUGAAACUGAUAGACUUGAGUAUGGGAGAGGAAAGUGGAAUUCCCGGUGUAGAGGUGAAAUUCGUAGAUAUCGGGAGGAACACCAGUGGCGAAGGCGACUUUCUGGACCAAUACUGACGCUGAGGCGCGAAAGCGUGGGGAGCAAACAGGAUUAGAAACCCUAGUAGUCC